rnacentral:lncRNA from 1 species
UUCCAGUCUCCUACUGAACUGUCACGGCAGACCUCUCUGUAUCUAUAUUUAGAGAUGUAUGUCCAUAUAUUUGCCUGAAUGUGUGAGUUCUUGGAAGUAUGGAUUCGUUGCCAGGAGCUGGUGAUUUCCUAUGCAGAGGUCGCUCACUACAAGAAAUGUUACACUCGGAAUUAGGAAAACAACCUAGUGUGGUUUUUAUUGUUAUUCCUGGAGGAUUCCAAAAUCUGUGUGCCUACAAAUAAGAUGAGCUGGGGAAAGGGAGCGCUGGCAUUUGGCGUUUCUACUUGCCUCUUUUCCUGGUGGAAUCCGAUCCUCUGCUUCCAGGACAAGUCCUGCGCUUGGGAUCCUUUGUACAACCAUUCACAGGUGCAAGUCUUCCGAACAAAUGCCUCCUGAGGAUUUGUGUGCCUGGAAAAUAUCUGUGAACAGAUUGCUUUUACACCUACGACCAAAGCUGGCUUUCAUGGUUUACUCAUGUACUUACUGAUGAAACCCUGAAACCUGGAGCCAGUGACUGUUCAGAGGUCCCUGUGAAGAUGCGCUGAAGGGUGUAAAGGACGGAGCAGUAAAGAGUGCUGGCUGAAUCCCUGGGCUGGGAAUCAGGCAUGUUGGAGUUUGAGUCCUGGUCUGCCACUCCAGCUCUGUGACCAAGAGGAAGUCAUGUACCCUUUCUAAGUCUCUAGCCCAUCUUCUGAAAGACGCUACCACCAACCAUGUUAGUGGUUGUGAAUGCCAACAAAGUCCAUGGGAAGCACACAGCAGUGGCUGCCGUGGACUAAGUGUUCCCAAGAUGGAAGCUAUGACAAUUUCACAGAGUACUCUUCCCAUCAUUUUCCAGUUC